rnacentral:sRNA from 1 species
CUUCGCCGGUGCCGAGCGUGGCAACGACGAUCGCCUGCGUUUCACCGCGGGUAAAGAGCGCCGAACC